rnacentral:misc_RNA from 1 species
UCCUCCGCCAUCGACUCUCCGCCUUUAUGGAGGUUGUCUCCGGCAACUUCUCCUGAUUCUUGCCAUAGAGCCACAAAAACUAAAGAAGAAGAAGAAGAAGAUGAAGCAAGAAAAUGUUGCUGAUGUAUGUAGUUCUCGAAACUUAAUUCAUUAUUAUUGUUGACAAAUGUGUUAUUGAAAUACAGUUGCACUACUUGUUUCAGAUCAAGUUGCACAUUGUGAAGUGAAACUUAUUACGACUAGACUACCUUAAGAACGAAAUCUAUGUGAUUCCAAGAUCGGCAGCAAUUUAGUACUAUUGCUUAACAACUUGCACCAGCUUGGCAUCUUUCAAUCAUAAAUAAAGUUCAUGCAAUUGAAUGGACUAGCAGGCAAAAUGAAAGAGGCAUUUGCAAUAGAAAACAUCUUUCUACAAUUUAGUUCAUUACAGUAGAAUAAAACUACAAAAGAGCUUUUGACAUUUAGCAAAAUAUACAUUUGAGCACUUGACCAUAUGAUCCUAGACAUCUAAAAUUUGCUCAAGUCCCUUAGUUGCUCUUUAGUUCCUCACUUUUAAAUUAGCCAACAUUCUAAUCCCCUAGUUUUUAUAUUUUAUAUACUUCAGAGUUCAGUCUAAAAUAAGAGUAAAAGGUGUAGCACAUAGAAAAUAUAGAGACUAUAAAGUUAAUCCAUUGAAAAAAUUAGAGGUUGAAGUGUAUGAGAUUUUAAUGCAAGGAUUAUAAUGCAAAGAAUUUGAUGAAUUAAGAAUUAUAAAAUUCACCUUGAGAAAAUCCAACACUUAAUUUUGCCAAAUGCUAAAGGUUUUUGGUUUUUUGUAAUUUAUCCUUAUAAAUAAUACAAAGACUGCAAAAAGCUCAGUGAUUGGUGUUUUCCCUUCAUUAAAUGAAUUAUUCAUCUAAAUAAGACGAGGGUUACCAGUAAUUGAAACUAUAUGUCUAGAAAUGGUGGGCUAAUUUAAG